UACGGAGGGAGCUAGCGUUGUUCGGAAUUACUGGGCGUAAAGCGCACGUAGGCGGCUAUUCAAGUCAGAGGUGAAAGCCCGGGGCUCAACCCCGGAACUGCCUUUGAAACUAGGUAGCUAGAAUCUUGGAGAGGUCAGUGGAAUUCCGAGUGUAGAGGUGAAAUUCGUAGAUAUUCGGAAGAACACCAGUGGCGAAGGCGACUGACUGGACAAGUAUUGACGCUGAGGUGCGAAAGCUAGGGUAGCAAACGGG
rnacentral:rRNA from 1 species